rnacentral:rRNA from 1 species
UACGUAGGGUGCGAGCGCUGUCCGGAAUUAUUGGGCGUAAAGGGCUCGUAGGCGGUUUGUCGCGUCGGAAGUGAAAACUCAGGGCUUAACCCUGAGCCUGCUUCCGAUACGGGCAGACUAGAGGUAUGCAGGGGAGAACGGAAUUCCUGGUGUAGCGGUGAAAUGCGCAGAUAUCAGGAGGAACACCGGUGGCGAAGGCGGUUCUCUGGGCAUUACCUGACGCUGAGGAGCGAAAGCGUGGGGAGCAAACAGG